AAUAAGCAAUAUAAUGGAGCUUUCUUUAGGGUUGAUAUGGUUUUUUUCAUUGCAAUUCAGGGCUUGUAGUUUCACCCAAUUAGCACUUAAGGAUCCGCAUGCUAACAUGUCAAACAAAAAAAUAAAUUUUUAAUGUUCCAAGUGAUCAUUUUUAAUGCCAUUAGGUGUUUUGCUACUCAAGUGCCAAUAGCACGAACCCACAUACCCUGAAUUGCAACGAAAAGACCAUAGGCUUUGAAUGCUUAAAGUGCGAAACAACAAAGUAUUGAAGUGUACCUUUCCCUUUAUUAUGCUAAAAGAAUAAUGGCUAGAUGAUAAUAUUUUUGUUUGUAAUAGUAUAUUUUUGAAUUGAUGUAAUAAUUUAAUUUUUUGAGUGAUGAUAAUUUUUUUUUUCUAAAAAAAGUAUAGUAGACUAUAUUUAUUCAUUAGAUUUUGUAUGAUACAUAUUAGAA
rnacentral:misc_RNA from 1 species